rnacentral:rRNA from 1 species
AGAGUUUGAUCAUGGCUCAGGACGAACGCUGGCGGCGUGCUUAACACAUGCAAGUUGAACGGUAUGACAUGGAAGCUUGCUGAAGUGUCAUAUAGUAGCGGACGGGUGAGUAAUGCAUGAGAAGCUGCCAUUGGGAGGGGGACAACAGUUGGAAACGGCUGCUAAUACCCCGUAUGCCGGAAGGUGAAAGGGAGCGAUCCGCCCGAUGAGGUGCUCAUGUCCUAUCAGCUGGUUGGUGGGGUAACGGCCUACCAAGGCGACGACGGGUAGCCGGCCUGAGAGGGUGAACGGCCACACUGGAACUGAGAUACGGUCCAGACUCCUACGGGAGGCAGCAGUGGGGAAUAUUGGGCAAUGGAGGAAACUCUGACCCAGCGACGCCGCGUGAGGGAAGACGGCCUUCGGGUUGUAAACCUCUUUUGUACGGGAAGA